rnacentral:snRNA from 10 species
ACGCUCCCUUCGGCAGCACAUAUAUUAAAAUUGGAACAAUACAGAGAUUAGCAUGGCCUCUGUGCAAGGAUGACACGUAAACUUGUGAAGCGUUCCAUAUUUUU